UUUAUUAAGCCCUUGGUGUUUGAUUGAGUGUUUGCUCCACUAAUGUUAUAUCUCUCUCAUUGUAGGAGGGCAAGUUGUGGCAGCUGGAGCAUGUCGCAUAAGAGAGAGCAAUUAAAUCCACUGUACUGUUCCGUUAAAAAAAGUACAUUGUGUUGUUAUGAUAGUAACAGAUGUGCCAUCUUUCUUAUUGUAUAGUCCUAUGUAAGGAAAUGUAUUCCUGAGAUGAUUUUUGUGUUAUGUAAACCUGGGAGAUAUUUUCUUUUUGUGUUAUGUAAACCUGGGAGUUUUCCUAAUUUGAAUGAAAUAAUGUUGGAU
rnacentral:lncRNA from 1 species